UCUCCUCCGGCACUAGUUGUCCCCGCUUCCAGGGCCGGUCCUGCCUCGUGGGUGGUGGCCUCGUGGGAGGACGCCUGAGCUGAGAAGGAGGACACCGUCGUCCACCCCGGCCACCACACAAGGGAUGGCGCCACUGUGCCCGGCGCUUGCCCUGGUCACCGCGGUGGUGCUUCAGCGGCUUCCAGACCCUCUCCUGGAUGUGGUGAUGGUCACAGCACAACCGUGGUGUGGCUGAGCCUCUACUACGGCUACAACCUCCCUCUGGUGAGCUCCUCCCCGUAACUUCUUCUCUGAUGUAGCUCCUGCAUGGCCUUCUCCAUGAUUUGGGUUGGAUGUGCGGCUCUACUAGUUGCUGCUAGAUACUGUAACGAAGCAUCAACUCCUACUGGAGCUCUCUGGUGAUAAAUUCAUGCGGUU